rnacentral:lncRNA from 1 species
GGGCUCGCCGCCGCCGGGGGCCCUUGGGGUUGGAGAAGCAGGACCCGAGCCCCCCCAAGCCAGCCUGAAGCGCCUGGGACACUGAGCGCUCUUGCGGUUUCCUCCUGCCUUUGUGAGCCUAGGGCGCGCGCUGGCACUGUGGCUCCUCGCGUCACAAAAGGACGGGGCCCGGCGGAGGCCGAGUCCAGGGCUUCUAGGUGAAAGGCAGGGGCGAGGAACCAGGUUUGCAGUGCCAGAGGAGGACAGACAGCUGGGAUGGAAACUCUGCUCUGCCAGUCAAGAUGAAGGAAACACCCCAAAGAUGACUGAGCAAGGAUCCUUGGCUUCCCAAAACUAUGAGAUUGUGCUAACCACCUCGGGAUGCUGUUUAAGAGGAUAAAGCUCUCUGCCUCUGCUUUGCUGCUGGUGAUAAGUGGUGGAUAGCAGCUCAAGGUGCUUACUGCACAUGGCUCUCUGAGUGGUAUGGACGCUACCCGCAUUUCCAGACUUUCCCCUCUCUCUUACCUGAACUAAUGCCCUCACUUCCUAGAUCCCUCUUGCACUAAAUAAAAGUUUAAAACCAACCA